GAUGAACGCUGGCGGCGUGCCUAAUACAUGCAAGUCGAGCGAACAGACGAGGAGCUUGCUCCUCUGACGUUAGCGGCGGACGGGUGAGUAACACGUGGAUAACCUACCUAUAAGACCGGGAUAACUUCGGGAAACCGGAGCUAAUACCGGAUAAUAUAUUGAACCGCAUGGUUCAAUAGUGAAAGACGGUUUUGCUGUCACUUAUAGAUGGAUCCGCGCCGCAUUAGCUAGUUGGUAAGGUAACGGCUUACCAAGGCGACGAUGCGUAGCCGACCUGAGAGGGUGAUCGGCCACACUGGAACUGAGACACGGUCCAGACUCCUACGGGAGGCAGCAGUAGGGUAUCUUCCGCAAUGGGCGAAAGCCUGACGGAGCAACGCCGCGUGAGUGAUGAAGGUCUUCGGAUCGUAAAACUCUGUUAUUAGGGAAGAACAAAUGUGUAAGUAACUAUGCACGUCUUGACGGUACCUAAUCAGAAAGCCACGGCUAACUACGUG
rnacentral:rRNA from 1 species